UACGUAGGGUGCGAGCGUUGUCCGGAAUUAUUGGGCGUAAAGGGCUCGUAGGCGGUUUGUCGCGUCGGGAGUGAAAACCCAGGGCUUAACCCUGGGCUGGCUUUCGAUACGGGCAGACUAGAGGUAUGCAGGGGAGAACGGAAUUCCUGGUGUAGCGGUGAAAUGCGCAGAUAUCAGGAGGAACACCGGUGGCGAAGGCGGCGACCUGGGCCAAUAUUGACGCUGAGGUGCGAAAGCGUGGGGAGCAAACAGG
rnacentral:rRNA from 1 species